rnacentral:rRNA from 1 species
UUUGGUGGCGAUAGCGGAAGGGUUCCACGCGUACCCAUACCGAACACGACCGUUAAGCCUUCCAGCGCCGAUGGUACUUGGACCGAAGGGU